rnacentral:rRNA from 1 species
AGCGAACGCUGGCGGCAGGCCUAACACAUGCAAGUCGAGCGGCCGUAGCAAUACGGCAGCGGCAGACGGGAGAGUAACACGUGGGAACGUGCCCAUCAGUUCGGAACAACCCAGGGAGACUUGGGCUAAUACCGGAUACGCCCUUACGGGGAAAGAUUUAUCGCUGAUAGAGCGGCCCGCGUCUGAUUAGCUAGUUGGAGAGGUAAUGGCCCACCAAGGCGACGAUCAGUAGCUGGUCUGAGAGGAUGAUCAGCCUCACUGGGACUGAGACACGGCCCAGACUCCUACGGGAGGCAGCAGUGGGGAAUAUUGGACAAUGGGCGCAAGCCUGAUCCAGCCAUGCCGCGUGGAUGAUGAAGGCCCUAGGGUUGUAAAGUCCUUUCGGCGGGGAAGAUAAUGACGGUACCCGCAGAAGAAGCCCCGGCUAACUUCGUGCCAGCCGCCGCCGUAAUAC